rnacentral:lncRNA from 1 species
CGUAAUGCAGAUAUGGCAAAANGGACUGGACAUCCAAUCUGCUAUGUUAGUUGGUGAAGACAAUGUCUGAAAUGAGGUUUAACAUAUUAUUAUUGCAAGUACAUUGGAGAAUCAUAUGAAAUUAACUGUUUGUAAGGAGAAAAAUUACACCACUUACACCGUGAAAUCCAAGAGGAAAAACAUCAAUUGUGAACGAUGUCAUUCCUAAUUGUGUUCCAACAUUGUACGACAAAUCGGGACAAUAACAUUGUAUUCCCUAACAUAAACAUGAAAAAUUUGGACAUAUGCUAAAUACACAUUAGGAACAUGUAAAUACACAUUGGAAAUCGUAUACUCACCGGGAUAUUUGAACAAAACAUUCGAUGUUGACGCGGGAAUAAAAUUUGUAGAUGGCACUUGUUGUGUUAGUGCGUGACUUUCCCUGUCACCCUACGUGAAGCAAUAAAACUUGUAUUUCCCUUCGUGAAUUUGUUUUAGUCCAAGAAUUUCCUAGCCAAAGCACAUAGUAGACUGUUCAAUUUAAAUGUCGACCACCCACUAGAGCAUAGGGACAAGUUAUGACAUUUACCUUAAUUUCUACUUACUGUUUCCCACGAAUAAGGUAUCUUCAAUUCUAAAUAGAGAUUGAAUAUUCACAUGAGGAUUGAAAACAAUAGGUACAAUCAAGGGGAGAACUUCCAUACGUAAAUCAACUUUUAAACUCCUUUAAUUAGUACUGGAACCCCACACACAAAAGAGAAUAUGCAAAUCCACUCUGCGAAAUUGUUUACUUGCUUUCGAUAAACUUAAUUCUACCAAAGCAACUACUAAUUUGACUUUUAGAAUGUCAAGAGUUAGGAACUAAAAAUGAAAAGCUCUUUCAAGCAAGAAAUGACCCAUUUGACCAGCCAAUAGAUUCUAAAUCUACAUAUGCAUUAUAAAGAUGGGAUAGCAUUGUCAUUACUAUGAUUGUUGCCAUCAUCAUGAAGUUAUUCAUGGAAAAAGUAUACCAACCACUUGUAUAGUUUUUUUGAUGAAUUUUAUUUAGUAUAAGCAAAUUCUUCCUCUCCUUAGCAUUUCUUUAUGUCUCGCGAUAUCUUUAAUUGGCUUAAGUACCUUAAGUGCACAUAAAGAGAGUAGUGAGAAAUAUUAAUGGACAUUGGUUCUAAUGAGUAAUAUACAAAUUAAUUGUAGGACCAUGUUAUGAAAUUGAAAUAACUUAAAUUGAAUAUCUACUAAGAAAACUACGGUUAAUAAUAUAGUUUCUCGGCCUCCUAGCGAACUCCUAUUGGCAGUGUUGGUUCUGGGGUUUAUGUGAGCGGUAUGAUUGUUGUUGAUGUUUGUAUCAAAAUAAAUUAAUGUUUAACCCCCAGGAGCGUGAUCAAACUAUCGAUAUGUGAACUUGAAUGUGUAGUACAAAAUCACAAAAUCAAGAUAUCAAAAUGAAAAAAGAAAAGGAGAAGAAAAAGAAAUGAAAUUCGAGGCAAGUGAUGGCACUUUCUCUUUAAGAUAAUAUUGCCCCGCUAUGGUGCUCUUGGUUGACGACACUUGUCUCCCAAGAUACAACGGAUGUUUAAUCUUGUAGUAGCAGCACUUCACACCACAAGAACCGGCGAAUUGACGGAAUUUCCACCUCUACAAAGGGAUUUUAGGCAAGAAAAAAGGGAGAGAGAUUUUGCAAGAGAAGACGAGUGCUCAAUGUAAAACAUGAGUUGGUGUUCCCUUAGGAACAUCCAAGGGGUCCUAUUUAUAGAGGAGGAAGGGGUGUGGAUGAAGUGGUGUGGGCCAAAUCGUGGAAUCUUUCGAAUAGUUGCAACAUUCCAUCUUCGCUAGCUUUUCGCUCGUGCGAGCGAGACUGUCGCUCGAGCGAACAUUGAGCGACGGUGACACUACCGUUCGAGCGAACAUCGAGCGACAGUGUAUUUUAGCCCUUUUCCACCGUACUUUCUUCCAAUCUUUGGACCGUAAUUUCUCAUUCACCCGGAAUUGGUUUCUAAUGUCCAAAUAUACUAUGAUCAUCUACUCAAUGAGUAGAACAAGUUGGCCUUUUUACUUUUGUAAUUUGACCAUCGGAUCAAAUCCGAAUAUUCAGCCGAAGUUGACACGUUAGUCACACUUUCCGAUUUCAAUUUUUACUUAACCAAUUUCCGAUCUUUCAAGUUAAUUUGGAAACCAAUUUCCAACAAUCCCCUACAUGAAUGGAAGUUUGACUAUGCAAAUGAUAUGCGACACGAUACAUGCAAUUGUAGAGAGAAAGAGCGGAUAAAUAUUGCAUCGGGCAAGGUAGCUUCCGACUUUGAACUUUCCUUAGUGAAAUAUUAUCGAGCUUACUUGGCUAGUUGGUGAACAUGAUGUCUUGAACCGACCAGCCGUUAGUAUAAGCCAAGACAACAAUACUCACAUAAUAUCUUCCCUAAUUCCGUUCUUGGUUCUCAUGACUUGGUUCAUUUUGACCCUGAACCCCUUUUGGUUCUGCAAGUGUUUUAGAGAAUUUAAGCCUUGAAUAAUUCUCAUUGAAGCGGCAUCACUUCACACUCACAUAGGUGACCUCCUAUUAAGAGUAUUCUACCCUACUCCACUUGACUUAAUCAAGAUAUAGGAAUCAUUAAAAGAUUAUUUUAACCUCUUCCAAUUCUGCAGAAAGUACUUUGGUAUCAUAGGAAUAAGUUAGGAAAUUAUUUUCUAAGCGCUUCAUGAAAUCCUCAUAACUUAGUUUUCCCUUUGAACCAAGAUUUUGGGAUCUUUAGUCAACAAGGUAGGGUUACCAUUACAAGGACUCUAAUUUAGUAGGCUUUAAUCUCAUUCCUCUCGAUAGGCAACGUAUUUAAUCUCUUGGCAAACCUUUCGUAAGCGGAUCCGCAACAUUCUCCUUUGAUUUCACAUAAUCUAUGGAGAUGGCGCCCAUUGAGAUCAGUUGCUUAAUGGUAUUAUGUCUUCGAUGUAUAUGUCUAGACUUACCAUUGUACAUGCUGCUUUUAGCCCUUUCAAUAGCCGAUUGAUUAUCGCAGUGUAUGCUUAUGGCAGGUACCGGCUUAGACCAACAUGGAACAUCUUCUUAGAAAUUUCGAAGCCAUUCUGCUUCUUCACCAGCUUUGUCUAAAGCAAUAAACUCUGAUUCCAUAAUUGAUCAUGCUAUACACGUUUGCUUUGAAGAUUUUCAUGAGAUAGCGGCUCCACCAAGUGUAAACACAUAGCUACUUGUGGAUUUGGAAUCCUUCAUAUCGGAUAUCCAAUUCGCGUCACAAUAUCCUUCUAAUACCGUAGGAUAUUUUGUGAAAUGUAAUCCAUAGGUCAUGUAAUACUUCAAGUACCUAAGGACUCUUAUCAAUGCCACCCAAUGAUCAUGGCUUGGAUUGCUCGUGAAUUUACUAAGUUUAUUCAUCGCAAACGCAAUGUCCUGUCGAGUGCAGUUUGUAACAUACAUUAGACUGUCAAUUAUUUGUGAAUAUCUUAGUUGUGACACACUUUCUCCCUUAGUUUUGACCAAUUGUAGACUUGUGUCAAUAGGAGUCUUUGCAGGACUUUCCUCAAAUGCUUCAAACUUCUUUAGUAUUUUCUCAACGUAAUGAGAUUGGGAAAGUACGAUUCCUUUCGAUGUUCUAGAGAUCUUUAUCCUUAGUAUUACAUUUACCACACCCAUGUCUUUCAUGUCAAAAUGUCUUGUUAGCAUUUUCUUGGUGUUUGUCAACAUUUCGUGACUAUUACCCAUUAUCAACAUAUCAUCUACAUAUAGACAUACUAUUGCAUAGGCAUUCGAUGUAUUCUUCACAUAUACACACUUGUCACAUUCAUUUAUUUUAAAUCCAUUUGACAAUAUUAUUUUGUUAAACUUUUGGUGUCAUUGCUUAGGAGCUUGUUUUAAGCCAUAUAAGGACUUAACAAGUUUACAUACUUUAUGACUUUCAUUUGGAGACACAAACCCUUUAGGUUGUUUCAUAUAUAUCUCCUCUUCUAACUCACCGUUUAGGAAUGUCGUUUUUACAUCCAUUUGAUGAAUCUCAAGGUUAUGUAUUGCCGCAAUUGCAAUUAGCAACCUGAGGUGAUUCUCGUUACGGGUGAGUAGGUAUCAAAGAAAUCAAAUCCUUCUUUUUAAUUAUAUUUUUGGCAACCAAUCUAGCUUUAUAUUUGUCAAUGGAUCCAUCCGAUUUCAAUUUCUUUUUGAAUAUCCAUUUACACUCUAAAGGCUUAUUUCCGGGAGGUAAAUCUACCAAUUCCCAAGUAUGAUUUUACAUUAUAGAAUAUAUCUCGCUAUUGAUAGCUUCCUUCCAAUGCGAUGCUUCCGGGGUAGACAUCGUGAUAUGAUCCAGGAGUCGAGCCUGACGAAGGCAAGUACGAGACGAGACCCAUUGAUAGUCGAUGGCGGACCAAUGACGCGAUCAAGGGAAAAAAAGUGAAACAAGCGAUGGGAUUGCUUGUUCAAGAAACCAUUAAUGGAACCAUGUUUGGGACUCAAAAUGGAGCAACUUUCAUGUUCGGGUCGAAGGUCGAAUCAACUUGGAUCAAUUUGUUAUCAAGCGAUGAAAUCGGAUGCUGAAAAUAAGCCUGUGCGACCGCACAGUGACAUACCGAAACUUAAAUUGGGAUUUUUUUUGAACCAUGCGGCCGCACAAGCCAAAAAUUUGGAGAAUUUUCCAAUUUUGGCAAUUUUUCAUAUUUUGUUAGAUUUUGAUUCUUUUCCAUAUUUUGGAGAUUAUGCUCGACUUUUACACGAUUUUUACCUAGUUUUUAGGUUUAGUAUAAAUAGGAGUUUCCAUUCAGUUGUUAAAAACCUUUGACAUUAUUGAUAUUGAAUUAAAGUGAGGCGUAUUGUCUUCUCUUCAUCGUUCUUCAUUGAACAAUUUCGAACUUAUCAAGUGUUAACUUGUGGCGUUCAAACAACCGAAUUUAA